rnacentral:lncRNA from 1 species
CUGAUUCCAGGAUGCAGCGUGGGCAGACUCCUGGAGCCCACACUGCUCUCCCCACGGCCUAGUUCCUGCAGCCCAGUUGGCUUCCCAGCAUCUGGCUCCUGCAGGGCACAGCAGCUAGCAGCAUUCUCAGCAGCCCCUUUAGAUGAGUUUGCAGUGAAGGGCCUCCCGUAAGACACCCACUCUGAACAGCUUCCCUUGAGCCCCUGAAAAAGCAGGUUAUGGUAAAGUCCAUAGUGUUUGCCGAAAGCUUCACUGGAAGGCACUACAGUAACUUCUCAGCCUUUCAGGGAGCCUCAUCCAUCUCUGUCAUGCCAUCUGAGCCAUGCCAUCUCCACCACCAUCUCAGCCCAGGUGCAUCUCAGCCCUGGGAAUCUCAGCCCUAAGGUGAUGGCUGCUCCUUGUAUUGGCUAUAGAUAUAGCUUUACUUUUAGAGUUGCCUUUACUUUUCAAGCCAAUACCUCACUUCUCUGUUAUGUGUUGCCAUCAAUACUCCCUAUAUCAAACUGCCCCUGUUCAUAGGUAUUUGUGGAUUUUUCUCUCUUUGGUGUAUUCUAAUACAACCGUUGACAGUGUCCAAAC